rnacentral:tRNA from 1 species
GGGGCCGUAGCUCAGCUGGGAGAGCGUAGCAUUCGCAUUGCUAAGGGCGGGAGUUCGAUCCUCCUCGGCUCCACCA